CUAGCUGGAUUGUUAUUACAGUGAUUCUCAAACAUAACAAACCCAAGUUCCAGGAGAGUUUGGACUGGGAGUCAGGACACCGCAGAGGAAACUUUCCA